UUUGAGGGUACAUAGAAGAUCCGAGUAGCAUCUUGGCGGGGCAAUAUCCAGGUUGCAUAGUUCUCACUUUGCAACCGUGUGUUGCAGCCAUGGCUUUACCCGUAGUUGUGUUCAUCUCUCAAUUACAUGUCUGAGUCUUCCAGUUGUAAAAGUAUUAUCACAGAUUCACAGAUCUAAAAGUACAUGUCUGAAAGACAGCUUGCUUGCUGCAGUCUCUAUAAACUGAGCUUUGUUCUUAAUAUGUCUGAACUGAAACUGUUAAGGCUAUGAUGCAUAAGCUGAGCCUGUGAGGUUACAUAUGUGUUUCUUGUGCUUAAAACACUUGUACAUCAUGCUUUAAAGGUUGUUUAAGUUUAGUGGAAAAUUACUCUUGUACAUCAUGCUUUAAAGCGGGGUUACAUAACACAAUAGACUGUGAUGAUGAUUGUAUUUUGAGGGUACAUAGAAGAUCCGAGUAGCAUCUUGGCGGGGC
rnacentral:lncRNA from 1 species